rnacentral:rRNA from 1 species
GACGAACGCUGGCGGCGCGCCUAACACAUGCAAGUCGAACGAGCGAGAGAGAGCUUGCUUUCUCAAGCGAGUGGCGAACGGGUGAGUAACGCGUGAGGAACCUGCCUCAAAGAGGGGGACAACAGUUGGAAACGACUGCUAAUACCGCAUAAGCCCACAGGUCGGCAUCGACCAGAGGGAAAAGGAGCAAUCCGCUUUGAGAUGGCCUCGCGUCCGAUUAGCUAGUUGGUGAGGUAACGGCCCACCAAGGCAACGAUCGGUAGCCGGACUGAGAGGUUGAACGGCCACAUUGGGACUGAGACACGGCCCAGACUCCUACGGGAGGCAGCAGUGGGGAAUAUUGCACAAUGGGGGAAACCCUGAUGCAGCGAGGCCGCGUGGAGGAAGAAGGUCUUCGGAUUGUAAACGCCUGUUGUUGAGGAAGAUAAUGACGGUACUCAACAAGGAAGUGACGGCUAACUACGU